rnacentral:tRNA from 1 species
GGGUCGGUGGCGUAGUUGGUUAUCGCAUCUGUCUAACACGAGGUUUGGUUGUUUACACACAGAACGUCCUCAGUUCGAACCUGGGCCAACUCA